rnacentral:rRNA from 1 species
CGGCGGACGGGUGAGUAACGCGUGGGUAACCUGCCUCAUACAGGGGGAUAACAGUUGUAAACGGCUGCUAAUACCGCAUAAGCGCACAGUACCGCAUGGUACGGUGUGAAAAACUCCGGUGGUAUGAGAUGGACCCGCGUCUGAUUAGGUAGUUGGUGGGGUAACGGCCUACCAAGCUGACGAUCAGUAGCCGACCUGAGAGGGUGACCGGCCACAUUGGGACUGAGACACGGCCCAA